rnacentral:rRNA from 1 species
UACCUCAGUAACGGCGAGUGAAGCGGUAACAGCUCAAAUUUGAAAGCUAGCUCUUCUAGGGUUCGCAUUGUAAUUUGUAGAAGAUGCUUCGGGUGUGGCCCCGGUCUAAGUUCCUUGGAACAGGACGUCAUAGAGGGUGAGAAUCCCGUAUGUGACUGGGUGCCUUCGCUCAUGUGAAGCUCUUUCGACGAGUCGAGUUGUUUGGGAAUGCAGCUCAAAAUGGGUGGUAAAUUUCAUCUAAAGCUAAAUAUUGGCCAGAGACCGAUAGCGCACAAGUAGAGUGAUCGAAAGAUGAAAAGCACUUUGGAAAGAGAGUUAAACAGUACGUGAAAUUGUUGAAAGGGAAGCGCUUGCAACCAGACUUGCGCGCUGAUGAUCAUCCGGGCUUCUGCCCGGUGCACUCGUCUGCGCUCAGGCCAGCAUCGGUUUCGGUGGUGGGAUAAAGGCCUUGGGAAUGUAGCUCCUCUCGGGGAGUGUUAUAGCCCUCGGUGCAAUGCCGCCUACCGGGACCGAGGACCGCGCUUCGGCUAGGAUGCUGGCGUAAUGGUUGUAAGCGACCCGUCUUGAAACACGGACCAAGGAGUCUAACAUCUAUGCGAGUGUUUGGGUGUCAAACCCAUACGCGGAAUGAAAGUGAACGGAGGUGAGAACCCUUAAGGGUGCAUCAUCGACCGGUCCUGAUGUCUUCGGAUGGAUCUGAGUAAGAGCAUAGCUGUUGGGACCCGAAAGAUGGUGAACUAUGCGUGAAUAGGGUGAAGCCAGAGGAAACUCUGGUGGAGGCUCGCAGCGGUUCUGACGUGCAAAUCGAUCGUCAAAUUUGCGUAUAGGGGCGAAAGACUAAUCGAACCAUUGACUUGCUCGCUACUAGGUGGUUAAGAGGUGUACGCAAAGGUACACUUAGUCCUUCAGUGGGCAACACUGUCAAAUUGCGGGGACGUCCUGUUUUAAAUGCUGAACUACCGCAGCCGCCCCGAAAGGGGCGGUGCGCACCAGGUUAAUGGCCUCGGGGAUGGUAAAAACGUUCAGAUAGGGAUGAUCCGCAGCCAAGUCCUACGGGGUCGCGCGACCCACGGAUGCAGUUCACAGACUAGAUGACAGUGGGUUAGAUGUUCUAGCUUAAGAUAUAGUCGAACCCCCCGAGAGAUCGGGGGCGGAGGGGUACCCCCAC